CAAAGAACUGCACACGCUCUUGCGUGUCAGUCAUCGUAAUAACCGCCACCACCACCGCCACAACACCGCCACCCCCCUCCCUCCCCCCUCUCCGCACUGACAACCUUGUGUUUCUACUAAGUUUAGCGCCCCCUUUUUUGCGUUUGACACGGCAGUCUGACCACGUGGGUGAGUCGCACCCUAAGCCACCGCGCUGCCCCCAUCACCUGCGCGUGCGCACGACUCCGUUUCUGCCUCCUUCGCAGGCAACAGCCCCCACCCCUAUUCUCUCACGACCAUUUACCCUCGCCUUCACGCUUGCGAACGCACGACGGAAGGACAGACUCUGACCCCCGAUUCUCGAUCCUUGCCACCGCUACCGCCACCUUCCCUCCCGCUCACACUUGUGCGUGGAUCAUCCUUGGUGUUCCCCACCCUUCACCCUCCCCCUCCUGUGGGAGCCGCCGUUCUCCUUCCUUGUUUUUUUUCCCCGCCUAAUUUGCGCGGUAGCUCAACGAAGACCCAACACACCAGCGCCCGUUGAAAAGCACGCACCCACAUCAACGCCUCCCCCCUCCCUUCCCCCUCCCCUGCAGGCCAAUCAAAGCCCGUGAACGCUCCAGCAAAACCAAGAGAACCACACGAGAAGGAAAGCAAUACAGACGACGAGCGCCUCAUCUCCGCCCUCUGACUCUCCUGUCCGUGGGUGUGUGUGAAGCGGUUCUUUGUUGGACAGAUAUUUGUUGCCCCCCCCCCCCUCCUCCUCCUCCCCUCUCCUCCCCAUCAUAUAUAUCUAUAUAUCUAUAUAUCUCCCCUAUUGUGCCUCCCCCCUCCCCCCCUGUGGGUUUGACUUGCUUGCUUGCGGAGCAACAUAUCUUACUUUGCGCACCACGUCGACCUCUGGCUCACUCUCGCACUCGCGCGCGCGCUUUACCUUUUCUCCUCCUCCUCUCGCUUUUCUGUGCUUCUCUGUGUGCUCUGCCACCUGCGUUUUAUGCGUGACUGUAGCUGCUGUUGGGUUGCUGCUCGCUGCUCGCUACUGCUGGUGCUGUCGUCUUGUCGUCGAUCAUCAUCAUCAUCAUCAUCAUCUCUCUCUCUCCUUCUCUCCCCUGUCGCCGUCGUCCUCUGCUUUCUUCAUUUUUCCCUUUUUUGUUUGCUUUCGCCUGCUUUGAGAUCCCUUCCCCUGCUUUCUCGCACACCCUAGAGCUUGACAAGCGCAUUAUUCGCUACCCUUCGUUUCCUGCUCAUUUCCUUUCGCCAUUUUUGGGCCUCGUGCGCGGCGCGUAUCGAGAGAACGACUCCCCCUCCCUCUCCCUCCCCUCCCUUCCUUCCACACUCACACCCACACCCACACCCACCUACAAGCAACAACGGAAAAGACGGGGCUGCUGGGAAGCGUCACGCAGCAUCGUCGGCAGCGAGCGAGAAGAAGGCGAAGAAAGGGAGCGCAAGAACGGCAACAACAAAAAAGCGUAGCCACGCCCCAUACCGACACAGCUAUAAGCUGAUACGAAACAUCGGACAGGCGGCGUCAUAGCGAGCGGUGAUAGCGGCAGAAAAGCAGAGUGAGCGUACCGUCCACAUAAAAGAGGUGCAGACGCGUAUAACAGAUACGGACAUAGCAUAUUGCUCUUGAGCGCAUUCGUGACUCUCUCUCUCUGUGUGAUACUCCUCUGCUACGUCUCUGUGGCGUCUGCCAGCGUGUCUCCUCCCUUGCUAGUGAGUAUCUUGAGGUGCUCCGAUCUCUCUCGUUUUUUUUUUCUUUCCCUUCGUGUACGUUCACCUUUUUUUUUUGUUUCUCCCCUCUCCCCGCCUCUCUUUCCCUGUCACACUGGUGCGCACCUUUUUGUUUUCCUUGCUUGCGAGUGACACCCUUUCCUUGGCUUGCGUGCCACCGUUUGCUUUGUGCUCUGCUGCUCGUGCCUCCCUGUGUGCGUGUGCGUGUGCGUGUGCGUGUGUGCCUCUCUGCCUGUUCUCUCUUCCGGUGCUCGUCUUUGCAACAUAUCAUCAAUAUCGAACGGCGGAUACACACACACAUAUAUAUAUAUUGGUGUAUCCUCAUCUCUCUUCCCUUCCCCCGCCUUGCCACCACCACCACCACCACGAUCCCCUCUCUCUCUCUCAUUCUCUCUCCUUGUGAAGAGUUGUAGUGAUAGUCGUAGCCGUGCUGCAGAGAUCGGUGCGGGCCCAUUCUCUCUCUCCAUAUAACGGCUGCCACUUGUGCGUCUGCCUCUCUUCCUCUUCUCUCUCUACGUGUGUGCGUGUUGCUUGCAUCGGUUCCCAUUUCUACGUUGCUCGCUGCUGCUGUUUUCCGUGUUUGUUUGUUGACGCCACACUCACGCGCGAGGGCGCCGCGUUGACUCCCCUCUCCCCCCUCCUUCUCUCUCCCCAUCCUCACCGUCGCCGGCCUCCUUCUCUGGCCGCUGUUCUCCGUUUCUUUGCGUUUUCCUUGGUUAUUAGUGUCGUCGCUUCCCCGCCGCGCGUGCCAGCGUGACUGCGCUUCCCUCCUCCCCUCCUCCUCUGUAGUUGUACAACGUCCCCUCCCUGCUUGGUACCAGCUUCCGGCGCCUCGCUCACCUUCUCCCCUCCCGUGUCCCUCCCCUUGCAUGGACGUGGAGGACGAGGUGCAUCCGUGGACAAGGACAGAGCCGCCUUUGCGAAACAGACAUUACUUUUCCAUCGUUGACGCAAAGGGAUCAACCAGCCGCGCCAACGAACGGGACGCGGUGCUACAGCCGUUACACUUAACGGGCUUUUAUCACCUCCUAACACGGUGGUGGUGUGGUGGUGGUGGCAGGCACGACUGCGCGAAGGCAGCAGCUGAAAUACAAAAAGAAAGCUAUUGAGGACUUAUACGCACUCCUAACAAGGAGAUCCAUCCGAGCACGAGUCUUGGCUUCUCACAGCAGGCCUUGCCGCUAUCGGGUACGAACGCUUUCGGCGAAUCUCACCUAUCAAGGCCGCGACUGAACGGGUACGGUCCUGCCCCGGCUCUGAUGGCGUCGUCACUGCCGCACCGCCAACAGACUUUGCUUCAGGCGCGCACAAAUGUGGCGGCGAGGGACACGGCAGCCGUUGCCACAUUGAGAGCGAAGGCGGGCUCGAACGGCAGCAGCCAGAACCUCCGUCCUGCUGCUCAGCGCCUUGAGCGUACACAGAGCUCGUUUAAACAGACGGACAUCUCGCAGCGCCCCCCAUCCAUAGCCCCCAAUGCCGCUACUGUCGUAUUACUGAGGCGCAUGCAGACGCGCGACAAUGGCCGCGCUGGCGGCACGGGCGACAACGUUGCUGCAAACGUUGCGCCAUCCCAUCAGUCGGUGCAGCGGCAGCGCCUGAGGGCCCAGAUGCCGAAUAAGAUCACACUUGCCAACAACGACGUCAUGGGUGAGGCGCCGAAGCCGUCAUCUAUGGCCGAGUCAGCGCCGAAGGCAGGAGCGCAGCGACGCAGGAUCGUAAAAAGUAACCGAAACGCUGUCGCUUCUCGUGGCCCGGCUGAGCCUUUGAAGGAGCGCAGCCCCGCCAUCAAAGUCAACGACGGCAGUCGCCGUAGCGACAGUGCGACGGCGAUGAAUGCACCUGCACAAAUCAAGGUCGCGGUGCGCGGCGGUGCACGAGGGCCGGCGUCUCAAGACAACCCGCUCGCCAUAGGAAACGACAAGCGUUUCUCUGCACAGAAUGCGCGCGGCGGGAUUUCUACGGCGACGCUGUCACCGUCGCACACCACUAUUACGGUCUCGGAUGACUACUCUGCCGAAUUCAGCGUCCGAGAAAUUUCCGACGUGCUUAGCCCCAUGACCCCUGCGAAUCCCACCAACCAAAAGACCCCACAGGUGCAGCAGCAGCAAUGGCAGGGCGGCGGCCGGAUCUACGACCUGAAUGCUGGCGCCAACGAUGACAGCUUCAUGGACGGUGACAGCCCGAUCGAAUUUGUGGAGGAGGACUUCGAGUUAGAUGACCCUGUGCCUGGCGGCACGAGGCACAACGACCUUGACGGACAAGCUUCCGAGGUUGGCCCUGGUCGCUUCUCCAAGGCUGGGGCAUCAAACCUGGACACGUUCCAGCAGCAAAACCAUGUGCCAUCGGCCGCAUCGCGAGGGCCGGCCCGAGGAGCGACUCUGGCGAGCGGCGCUACCGCAACACAGCACGCCGAUGGGGCUCAUCACUUAACCACCGAGGGCACCAUGGACAGCGGCCCUGCCGGCCCUGACUCCAACCGUGACUCCCCCAGUAGCGCGCCGAAGGAGCGGGCCGAGCAUGCGAACGAGGCCAAACCCCAUAACGGGCCCGCGAUGAUCAAAGUGCCGCCGCUGGCGCUCGACGCGAUCAACGCGAAUCGCAAAACCGGCAAGGCGUCGUACAAGGUUUCCCACCCCAAGCCGGGCACCGUCGUGCCCGACAUAGAGAGUUCGUCGACGGAAUGCUCUGAUAUGCCGAACAACUCUUCCCUACCGGCCAACUCUGAGGCGCCGGACGUGACGGACGGGGUGCCGAACCGCCCCCUGGAGCGACGAGGCGGCGCGAAGAAAGGCAGCGGAGACGACAAGUCAGUGGGUGGCGCCCACAAUGGCUCUUUGCUGUCGGACAGUGCCGUGAACGGGCAUCGCACCGGCGCCGCCGGUCCCUCCGCGUACAAAGGCAACCCCCAAAACUACGGGAGGCACGGCAUGUCUGUCAUGCCGUUUGAUGAUAGAAGCAACGGCUCGCAAGACUAUGGGGCGUCGCCGCCCCGGAAUGCAUGCGAAGGCUUUGGUGGCAACUCUGGAGGCUACGGGAUGGAUGCGGGGGCCUCUGGCUCAGUGCAAAGGCAGCGCUGGCUUGAGGAGGCGGACAAGCAGAGUUCAGAGGAGUCCAGGCCGCCGAUGACCAGCGUGAAGAAGAAAAUCAAGUGUUGUGCCGUCAUGUAGCGCCCACGCAUACACGCCGACACAGAUAGCGAAAGGGUGCACAGGUGAUGGGGUGAUGUGGGGGUGGGUGGCGGAUGUGCCUACCCACGUGGACGCUUCUUCUUUUGUGUAUAUGGUGUGCUCGUGCACGCGUGUUGUGCGUUGCCGAUGACUCUUCGUGAUGUGUAAUGGCCUCCAUUACCGUCUUGCUCCACGCCGCAGCAGCCGCGGAUCGUUGUGCUACAUCGGAGGCUUCUCCUGCUCCCACCCCCUCCUCCCUCCCCCGAUGCGUCCGCUUCGGGCCUGCAUCGCCCUCCCUUUUACGUAUAUAUAUAUAUUUCCUCCAUUGCUGCUUGCUUUCCUCGUGCGUAAGAGCUUUCGGGCUACUGCGAGGCCCUUCCUUCUUUGCGUUUCUGCGAGCCCGUUGUAUUGCGCAUCUUCAUUGUUGUGUGCACGCCCUGAUGAUGCCGGGCUACCGAAACUCUGCGUGCGUGGUGUUAGGGUCCAGCAUCUCCACCCUGUGUGUGUGUGUGUGUGUGUGUGAGGGGGAGGCCAAGCGGCCUGCAGCCGGCCCUUGGGCGCGACUGCGGACUUGUGGUGUUGACGGAUACGUGUGGACUGGCGCGGCGCUGAGGAGACGUGCGCUCAUGAUCAGGCUUGUACCCGCUCACUGAGAAUCGUGUCGGCGAUCAAACCAUUAUCGGGCGCCAUGAGUUCUUUGUGCGCAGGCACAAGUCUCUCCGCGGGCCUCUUCUGCUUGACAUGCUCGCUCCUGCCAAAGGCCUGCGGGCUCAGGAGAAAACGGAAUGCCCCUGCUGCCACAGACUCAUGGCGGCGCCCCAUGUGUCGCGGCACAUGCGGGCGAGCCAUCCGGGCGCGCCCCCCGCGACAUCGACGGAAAUGGAGGACGAUGACAGCGAUCCCCCCAGGCAGCAACGCCGUCCUGGGGCAGACCCGAAGAUCCGAAAAUGCGAGCACUGCGCGCAGACGCUGCAUAGCAUAGCUGGCAUGGUGCAUCACAUCCGAGAAAGGCGUGCAGCAGCCCGAAGAGCACGAGCGAUGGACGAGAACGGCGCAAAGAGAUGCACACCGACCAACUCCACAGCGCAUGCGCGCGACAUGUGCGGCGUCUCCUGCAUCCGGCUGGGUGGGCUGGCGCAGCACAGAUGCCGAAAACAUGACGAGAGCGCCGCGUACGGCACCACGGAGUUCUCCAGACUCCGCUGUGGAGAGUCUCCACACCACAUUAUGGAAUGCUGCGGCUGGAGGCGACCGAGGGCGAAGCACGGCGUGCAGGCGGGGGGCCUCUGAGGGCCCUGGCCUGAGGCUGGCGGACUUCCUCCUCGAGCGCAUGCGGCAUGCACCUGGACCACCCCCUAUUACCUGCACGACAGACGCCACCGCCCUGGGGCAGGACCCUGGGCGCGGCCCGCCUGGAUCCAGGCGUGCAGUCCACGGGAGUGUCGGUCUGGCGCCGAUGACGGGGCAUUUAUGAGAAGGGACGGGGAGAGACAAGCAGAGCCGGUGGGACGCAUGGCCUCGACGGCGGAACGGCUUGUCCUCCACGACCAGGAUUCAGCCGUAGUGCGACAGAGGUUGAUGGAGUGUAGCUGUAUGCGCAUAUAUGUGUUGACUUGUUCGUGGUAUAGGAUGUCAGGCUGAGCGAAG
rnacentral:misc_RNA from 1 species